rnacentral:rRNA from 1 species
AUGUCUCAUCGACGACAGGAAGAGAAUCUAGAAAUUAUUGCGCUUGAUGCAGUAGACGAAACUGAUCUGUUUGAUCUGAUCCCAACUUCCCAAGUCCUGAUGAGAACGUAUACCUACGUGGAUCCAAGUCGAGUUGGGAGCGGCAUCAAUCCGAUGAAUGUGCAAGGAAUUUCUGAAUCAAUCACUUCUAUUUGUGUAUGGGUAUGUUCGUUGGUCAUUCAAUUCAAUUGUUCGUACAACAGCAGAAUUUUCCCUUUAGCACGAAUUUCCAGUAGUUGUGUUGCUUCUUUUGAAGGUGGAUCUUGGAUUCAUUCCAUUAGUUUUAUUUUCAGAAUUUCCAAUUAUUUGAGUAUCCUCCCUAUAGCUGCCUUCAGAGAAGAACAUGAGCCUGGAUACUAA